rnacentral:lncRNA from 1 species
GGGAUAGGGUCACGUGUUGGAACAAAAAACUAUUUCUCAACGAUUCAAUGAACAUUGUUGACUGUAUACUGACUGAUGUCCAGUAAUUCCAUUCAAUAUCUGGAUAGUUAAAAUCCCCCAUUAUUAAAAUAUGACUGAAGUCGAUAUUGUUAAUGUUACUCAGUAGGUUCUGUAGUUUUAAGUUAAUAUCUAUAUCACUAUUGGGACUUCUAUACACACAUCCAACUAGCAACUUAUCAUUUUCACAAAAUCCAAUAUAUAUCAAAGUUGACUCCCUGAAAAUGUCGACUAUUUCAUUGGACCACACUUUUGGGUUUAAGUCCCUAUGAAUGUAGAGAAGCGUUCCUUUACCAACAACUAAAUCUAAGUUACAAUGAAACAUUUCAUAUUCGUCAUCAAUAUUGAAUUCGACCAGUGAAAUUGGGAACCUACUAUUUUUUGGUUUUACCUCAGUUAUACCAAUCAUUAAAGGUGUUGGGUCCAUAUCACUUAAAAAUAAUCUGGAGUCUGACAUUUUAUUUGCUAAUGAAUCUGCAUUAGCAUAAAGACAAGGGAUGGAUGACAAACGAUAUAUCACUACGCGUGUUCUAUUCUAUUUGCGUGUGUUCUUCAUGUAGAUGAUGAGUUUGACGUGUGGACAUUCUUAAAUCUAAUUUCAAUUAGCAACAAGUAGAUAAAAUGCUUUAAAAUAAACUAUUAUUCUUAAAAAUACAGUACGUUUACCUCCGAUUCACUGUAUAACAGAAUAUCUAUUAAAGACAUACAUACACAAAAUGAGUGGGCAGUCCAGAUAUCAACCAUCACCAAAUGAAAAGGAUAUAUGCUGCUACUGCCUUAUUGCAAUCGCCUGCUUGGUCAUUGUGGCGAUUGUCAUAGCUUUAUUAGCGCACUUUGCUUAAAGUUCGACUUUUGAAUACACGACAUAAAAUUCUGCAGACGUCAUCAUUGCCAACAUUAAGGAGAUGCUCACUUCCAGACGGACAGUAUUGUUUCCACACCAUAGCUACUUUUGAAUGUGAACGAAAUAUAAACACAAGUGGACAACUUAGGGUCCUGGAGAUAUAUUUUUAAAAAGGAUGAUUAGACUAAUUUCAGGUGUUUAAAGAAAUAUGUACAAUAAACAGCAGAAUACUGAAACAUCAGAAUUCCGUGGGGAAAACAGUGGCUGGAUCUCGAUAGAUAUUUAAAAAGCAAAACAACACUUAAAAUGUAAGCGUAUGUAAACAGCUAGAAAUAGAACCAGAACUUUCUAACAACACUAAGUCAUUCCUUAGAGGGUGGGGGUGGGUGAGGGUAAAAACAACCCCGAUAGGCCUAGUAUAUAUUGGAUGCGACCUUAACGUCUGCAUUGACAGCAGAAUGUCCAGGAUUGAGGAAUUUUUCGCACCCACAGAUUCCUCUUCUUGACAAUGUAGAAAAAGGUGUUUUAAGUGCUUACUUGUAUAUCAUCCCUUGCCUAUGUUUCUGUUAACAAAUUAACUGAAAAAUUUGAAAUAUAUUAAUAGGUGCUUUUAUUUUCGUUUUUUGGAGUUUCCUUUAUUUUUUAGUUCUGUAUUGAUAAUGGAUUAUUUUUAAU